UCCCGGCAGUCCAAGUCGCAGCCACAUUUGUUGGGUCUAAAACAUCCGUAGCUCGCCCUGUAAGUCUUUGGUGAAAUCGGGCCUCUUAAGGGUCCGGCGUGCCCAAGAUACUGCAAGGCUUCGAGACCGGGAGGCGUAAGAAGUACGAUAGGGGUAGCGGUAAAAUGUGUUGAUCCUUAUUGGACUAUCAGUCGCGAAGGCGUCUUACGAGAACGGUUCUGACAGUGAGGGAUGAAGGCUAGGGG
rnacentral:rRNA from 1 species